CGGAAGUAGUUCAGUGGUAGAACAUCACCUUGCCAAGGUGGGGGUCGCGGGUUCGAACCCCGUCUUCCGCUCCA
rnacentral:tRNA from 1 species